AUUUCUUAACGCUUCUGUUGUGCGAUCUACAAGGGUACGUAGAUCGGAAAUCCCCUCUCGUAGAUGGACAUCACCAUGAUAGGUCUUCGUGCGCGUAGGAAUUUUUUUUUCCCAUGCGACGUUCCCCAACACGAACAACAUUCGGUAACCACACAUAUAACUUAAUAACUAUACUAAAACAUCAUCGAACCUUAAGUUUGCACACCCUACGGGUUCGAGAACUAUGUAGACAUGACCCGAGACACUCCUCGGUCAAUAUCCAGUAGUGGGACCUGGACGCCCAUACUGGAUCCUACAUAUUCUCCGAAGAUCUUAUCGGUUGAAGCUCAGUGCCAAGGAUUCAUAUAAUCCCGUAUGUCAUUCCCUUUGUCCNNNN
rnacentral:lncRNA from 1 species